rnacentral:rRNA from 1 species
UGUCCCUCGUGAGACGAGUGGGAGAGGGGAGUGUAGUGUGGGGGGAUCUGCCAGAUAGGGGGGGAUAACCUGUGGAAAGGGGGGCUAAUACCGCAUAACCUCACGAGACCAAAGGGGGGGACCUUGGGGCCUCUCUCUAUCAGAUGAACCCAUGGGGGAUUAUCUAGUGCGGGGGGUAACGGCCCCCCUGGGACAAUAUCCCUAUGGGGUCAGAGAAGAAGACCACCCACUGUGGCUGUGACACACGGCCCACACUCCUACGGGGGGCAGCUGUGGGGAAUAGUGCACAGUGGGCGCACGCGUGAUGCACCCGUGCCGCGUGUAUGAAAAGGGUCUUCGGUGUGUAAAGUACUUUCCGCGGAGAAGAGGGAUAUGUGUUUUAUAACCGCUUAGAGUGAUUUUACCCGCAAAAAAAACCCCGGAUAUCUCCGUGCCCACCCCCGCGGUAAUACAGAGGGCGCGCGCGUUUCUCAAAUUUAGUGGGUGUAAAGCACACGCGGGCGGUGUGUUAACUGAGAUGUGAUCUCCCGGGUCUUCAUGUGGAAACUGCUUUUGAAACUGGCGGGUUUGUCUCUCGUAGAGGGGGGUAGAUUUACGUGUGUAGCUGAGAUGUGCGUAGAUCUCUGGAAGAAUAGGUGUGGCAAGCGCCGCCCUGUGCAAA